GAUGAACGCUGGCGGCGUGCCUAAUACAUGCAAGUCGAGCGGUAAGGCCUCUUCGGAGGUACACGAGCGGCGGACGGCUGAGUAACACGUAGGAACAUACACCAAAGUGAGGGAUAACUGCUCGAAAGAGUAGCUAAUACCGCAUGUGGUCUUCGGAUUAAAGCUUCGGCGCUUUGGGAAUGGCCUGCGUCUGAUUAGCUAGAUGGUGAGGUAAUGGCUCACCAUGGCGACGAUCAGUAGCUGGUCUGAGAGGAUGAUCAGCCAGACUGGGACUGAGACACGGCCCAGACUCCUACGGGAGGCAGCAGUAGGGAAUUUUUCACAAUGGGCGAAAGCCUGAUGGAGCAACGCCGCGUGCAGGAUGAAUGCCUUCGGGUUGUAAACUGCUUUUAUAUGUGACGAAUAUGACGGUAGCAUAUGAAUAAGGAUCGGCUAACUCCGUGCCAGCCGCCGCGGUAAAAC
rnacentral:rRNA from 1 species